AUUGAACGCUGGCGGCAUGCCUGACACAUGCAAGUCGAACGGUAACAGGUUAAGCUGACGAGUGGCGAAAGGGUGAGUAAAGUAGCGGAACGUGCCCAGUCGUGGGGGAUAACUACUCGCAAGAGUGGCUAAUACUGCAUACGAGCGGGGGGUGAAAGCGGGGGACCGUAAGGCCUGGCGCGAUCGGAGCGGCCGAGACCAGAUUAGGUAGUUGGUGGGGAAAAAGCCCACCAAGGCAACGAUCUGUAGCUGGUCUGAGAGGCCGACCAGCCACACUGGGACUGAGACACGGCCCAGACUCCUACGGGAGGCAGCAGUGGGGAAUUUUGGACAAUGGACGCAAGUCUGAUCCAGCCAUGCCGCGUGCGGGAAGAAGGCCUUCGGGUUGUAAACCGCUUUUGUCAGGGAAGAAACGAGUUUCUCUAAUACAGGGACUUAAUGACGGUACCUGAAGAAUAAGCACCGGCUAACUACGUGCCAGCAGCCGCCGUAAUAC
rnacentral:rRNA from 1 species